rnacentral:rRNA from 1 species
UAGUAAUACAAGGCAUACGGCUCAGUAACGCGUAGUCAACCUAACCUAUGGACGGGAAUAACCUCGGGAAACUGAGAAUAAUGCCCGAUAGAACACUAUACCUGGAAUGGUUUGUGUUCCAAAUGAUUUAUCGCCAUAGGAUGGGACUGCGGCCUAUCAGUUUGUUGGUGAGGUAAUGGCCCACCAAGACUAUUACAGGUACGGGCUCUGAGAGGAGUAGCCCGGAGAUGGGUACUGAGACACGGACCCAGGCGGGAUGGGGCGCAGCAGGCGAGAAAAGUUGGGCAAUGUGCGAAAGCACGACAAGGUUAAUCCGAGUGAUUUGUGCUAAACGAAUCUUUUGUUAGUCCUAGAAACACUAACGAAUAAGGGGUGGGCAAGUUCUGGUGUCAGCCGCCGCGGUAAAACCAGCACCUCAAGUGGUCAGGAUGAUUAUUGGGCCUAAAGCAUCCGUAGCCCGGCUCUGUAAGUUUUCGGUUAAAUCUAUACGCUCAACGUAUAGGCUGCCGGGAAUACUGCAGAGCUAGGGAGUGGGAGAGGUAGACGGUACUCGGUAGGAAGGGGUAAAAUCCUUUGAUCUAUCGAUGACCACCUGUGGCGAAGGCGGUCUACCAGAACACGUCCGACGGUGAGGGAUGAAAGCUGGGGGAGCAAACCGGAUUAGAUACCCGGGUAGUCCCAGCUGUAAACUAUGCAAACUCAGUGAUGCAUUGGCUUGUGGCCAAUGCAGUGCUGCAGGGAAGCCGUUAAGUUUGCCGCCUGGGAAGUACGUACGCAAGUAUGAAACUUAAAGGAAUUGGCGGGGGAGCACCACAAGGGGUGAAGCCUGCGGUUCAAUUGGAGUCAACGCCAGAAAUCUUACCCGGAGAGACAGCAGAAUGAAGGUCAAGCUGAAGACUUUACCAGACAAGCUGAGAGGUGGUGCAUGGCCGUCGCCAGCUCGUGCCGUGAGAUGUCCUGUUAAGUCAGGUCACCAGCGAGAUCCCUGCCUCUAGUUGCCACCAUUACUCUCAGGAGUAGUGGGGCGAAUUAGCGGGACCGCCGCAGUUAAUGCGGAGGAAGGAAGGGGCCACGGCAGGUCAGUAUGCCCCGAAACUCUGGGGCCACACGCGGGCUGCAAUGGUAAUGACAAUGGGUUCCAAAUCCGAAAGGAGGAGGUAAUCCCCAAACAUUACCACAGUUAUGACUGAGGGCUGCAACUCGCCCUCACGAAUAUGGAAUCCCUA